CGGGCUGUCAAUUUUUUUCUACACUUUUAGGUGUAUUUUGUGCAAGAAAAUGCAUUAAAAUCGUUUGCCUAAGAAAAAUUAAAUUAUUUUGGGAACUUUUAUAUAAUUUUGGAUUUAUGGGUUAAAUGACUUUUAGGUGGUAAUAGGUGUCUUCCUCCACUCGGAUCGGGCUGUCAAUUUUUUUCUACACUUUUAGGUGUAUUUUGUGCAAGAAAAUGCAUUAAAAUCGUCUGCCUAAGAAAAAUUAAAUUAUUUUGGAAACUUUUUUAUAAUUUUGGAUUUAUGGGUUAAAUGACUUUUAGGUGGUAAUAGGUGUCUUCCUCUACUCGGAUCGGGCUGUCAAUUUUUUUCUACACUUUUAGGUGAAUUUUGUUCAAGAAAAUGCAUUAAAAUCGUCUGCCUAAGAAAAAUUAAAAUAUUUUGGGAUCUUUUUUAUAAUUUUGGAUUUAUGGGUUAAAUGACUUUUAGGUGGUAAUAGGUGUCUUCCUCUACUCGGAUCGGGCUGUCAAUUUUUUUCUACACUUUUAGGUGAAUUUUGUUCAAGAAAAUGCAUUAAAAUCGUCUGCCUAAGAAAAAUUAAAAUAUUUUGGGAUCUUUUUUAUAAUUUUGGAUUUAUGGGUUAAAUGACUUUUAGGUGGUAAUAGGUGUCUUCCUCUACUCGGAUCGGGCUGUCAAUUUUUUUCUACACUUUUAGGUGUAUUUUGUGCAAGAAAAUGCAUUAAAAUCGUCUGCCUAAGAAAAAUUAAAUUAUUUUGGGAACUUUUUUAUAAUUUUGGAUUUAUGGGUUAAAUGACUUUUAGGUGGUAAUAGGUGUCUUCCCCUACUCGGAUCGGGCUGUCAAUUUUUUUCUACACUUUUAGGUGUAUUUUGUGCAAGAAAAUGCAUUAAAAUCGUCUGCCUAAGAAAAAUUGAAUUAUUUUGGGAACUUUUUUAUAAUUUUGGAUUUAUGGGUUAAAUGACUUUUAGGUGGUAAUAGGUGUCUUCCUCCACUCGGAUCGGGCUGUCAAUUUUUUUCUACACUUUUAGGUGUAUUUUGUUCAAGAAAAUGCAUUAAAAUCGUCUGCCUAAGAAAAAUUAAAUUAUUUUGCGAACUUUUUUAUAAUUUUGGAUUUAUGGGUUAAAUGACUUUUAGGUGGUAAUAGGUGUCUUCCUCCACUCGGAUCGGGCUGUCAAUUUUUUUCUACACUUUUAGGUGUAUUUUGUGCAAGAAAAUGCAUUAAAAUCGUCUGCCUAAGAAAAAUUAAAAUAUUUUGGGAUCUUUUUUAUAAUUUUGGAUUUAUGGGUUAAAUGACUUUUAGGUGGUAAUAGGUGUCUUCCUCUACUCGGAUCGGGCUGUCAAUUUUUUUCUACACUUUUAGGUGUAUUUUGUGCAAGAAAAUGCAUUAAAAUCA